rnacentral:rRNA from 1 species
UCUACGGGAGGCAGCAGUGGGGAAUAUUGCACAAUGGGGGAAACCCUGAUGCAGCGACGCCGCGUGAAGGAAGAAGUAUCUCGGUAUGUAAACUUCUAUCGGCAGGGAAGAAAACGGACGGUACCUGACUAAGAAGCCCCGGCUAACUACGUGCCAGCAGCCGCGGUAAUACGUAGGGGGCGAGCGUUAUCCGGCUUUACUGGGUGGAAAGGGAGCGGAGACGGGUGGGCA